AGAGUUUGAUCCUGGCUCAGAACGAACGCUGGCGGCAUGCCUAACACAUGCAAGUCGAACGUGAUCCGGGCUUCGGCCUGGUGAAAGUGGCAGACGGGUGAGUAACGCGUGGGAACCUGCCCUGUGGUAGGGAAUAACCGUGGGAAACUGCGGCUAAUACCCUAUGAGUCCUUCGGGAGAAAGAUUUAUCGCCAUAGGAGGGGCCCGCGUCGGAUUAGGUAGUUGGUGGGGUAACGGCCUACCAAGCCUUCGAUCCGUAGCUGGUCUGAGAGGAUGAUCAGCCUCACUGGGACUGAGAUGCGGCCCAGACUCCUACGGGAGGCAGCAGUGGGGAAUAUUGGACAAUGGGGGCAACCCUGAUCCAGCAAUGCCGCGUGGAUGAUGAAGGCCUUCGGGUUGUAAAGUCCUUUCGGCGGGGAAGAUGAUGACGGUACCCGCAGAAGAAGCCCCGGCUAACUUCGUGCCGGCAGCCGCGGUAAUACGAAGGGGGCUAGCGUUGUUCGGAAUUACUGGGCGUAAAGGGCGCGUAGGCUGUGCUGUAAGUCAGGCGUGAAAGCCCCGGGCUCAACCUGGGAAUUGCGUUUGAUACUGCGGCGCUGGAAGGUGGGAGAGGAUGGCGGAAUUCCCAGUGUAGAGGUGAAAUUCGUAGAUAUUGGGAAGAACACCGGUGGCGAAGGCGGCCAUCUGGCCCACAUUUGACGCUGAGGCGCGAAAGCGUGGGGAGCAAACAGGAUUAGAUACCCUGGUAGUCC
rnacentral:rRNA from 1 species